CUAUUCUUCUCAAUGACAGAAUUAGGAAUCUUGAUGCAAGCCUCACCGGAUGGGAGGACAAAGGCAUCGCCCUUUUUCUGAAGCGGUUUGCCAUAGCCUUUUACGUGCGUACACCAAGUUUCUACAGGUAACGAGUCUUUUUUGGUGGUCUCAUUUAGAGUCUUCAGCUUAAAAAAAUUAACAUGUUGGCUUGCAAAAUGAUGACAUCUCUAGAUAAAAGUUGGAAAUUACUCAGCUAUAUUCAACUUAUAUAUUGUCUACACCUAGUUCCAGUAUAUUAGUGAAUACUCAGUGGAAUUCCUACAUCUCUAAAUUUUCGUUUAUGAAGAUGAUUUCUUAUGAAAAAUGAAGAGACACAAUAUUAGAAUACAAUAAUAGUGCCACGUAUAAAUGCUAUACUUGAUAUGUUCUACAUAAAUUAUCACUAUAUACUAAUGUUUUAUAUACUUUUAACUUUAAGUGGUUCAACAUAAUUAUUAGCUUCUUCUACUCGUACUGGUAAGUUCUACACUAUAUUAUUCUCUACAUUCUUUUAAUUCAUCAUUAGUUCGUAUAAUCUAUGUAUAUUGCCAUAUUGGUCUCCAACUCUCUUGAUAUUAUAUUUCACGCAUAGUACUAAUAAAACAUUCACUAGUUAAAACUCUUGGCAGAUACAGGAUUAACACUAUCUAACUUUCGUAGGGAAUGUAAGAAUCGUCGUAGAACGAAUAAGAAGUUGACACGAGAUGAUUAAACGAGACGCGAUUAACGAAGAUAAGAUGAUAUAACAAUGCUACAAGUCAUUUAAUAACGAUUUUGAUAAACAACGUCGUUUUCUAGAAUAAGAGAAAAGGAAGAAGGACAACGAGCCACUUGCACUCGCGUGGGGACGCAACAUAAAGCCGUACGUGCGUGACUGUGAGAUGUGGCCUCUCUAUCUUUCUUGUCUUGUCCAAUCUGUUCAAUGGCCCAGAUGAGGAGAUACGUUUGUAAAUUUUUAUAAAAUCGUAUGGGUAAUGUAGUCUUUUUCUAUUUAUUGGCAUGUUCUUGGUGAGAUGUUGUUUUCUCCUUCACAUUACAUUACGUGAUGACGACUACUUCCCCCGUAACACGGUGUCGAGAUUCAGGCUCUCAAUAGAAGACGGUGUAGGACGAAACGAAAUGGGAAUAUUAUCAAUUUUUAAUAAAAUUUGAUAUGAUUUGUCUAUUUUAAGUAUGAAAUCUGGUAUGUAAAUUGUAGUAAUAUGGAGAGUUAAGAACAAUUUUCUAGUUGUUCAAAA
rnacentral:lncRNA from 1 species